rnacentral:rRNA from 1 species
AGAAACGAAGGAGCCAGCCAUGUCCGUGUCGUCGGCGGAGAUGGCGGCGGUGAAGACGUCGUCGAACGGGAUGUGGCAGGGCGACGACCCGCUCCACUUCGCCUUCCCGCUGCUCAUCCUGCAGACGCUGCUCAUCCUGCUCCUCAGCCGCGUCCUGGCCCUCCUCCUCCGCCCGCUCCGCCAGCCCAAGGUGAUCGCCGAGAUCGUCGCCGGCAUCCUGCUCGGCCCCUCCGCGCUCGGCCGCAACAAACCCUACCUCCGCGCGCUCUUCCCGCCCUGGAGCGCGCCGGUGCUCGAGUCCGUCGCCAGCCUCGGCCUCCUCUUCUUCCUCUUCCUCGUGGGGCUCGAGCUCGACCUCCGCUCCGUCCGCCGCAGCGGCCGCCGCGCCUUCGCCAUCGCCGCCGCGGGCAUCUCCCUCCCGUUCGCGUGCGGGGUCGGGGUCGCCUUCGUCAUCCGCCGCGCCAUCCCUGGGGCGGACGAGGCCGGCUACGCGCCGUUCCUGGUCUUCAUGGGCGUCGCCAUGUCCAUCACCGCGUUCCCCGUGCUCGCGCGCAUCCUCGCCGAGCUCAAGCUGCUCACCACGGCCAUCGGCGAGACGGCGCUCGCGGCCGCCGCGUUCAACGACGUGGCGGCGUGGGUGCUGCUGGCCCUCGCCGUGGCCAUCUCCGGCAGCGGGGACGACCGGCGCAGCCCGGUGACGUCCCUCUGGGUGCUCCUCUCGGGCGCCGCGUUCGUGGCCGUGUGGAUGCUGGCCGUGAAGCCGCUCAUGUCGUGGGUGGCGCGGCGGUCGGACUCAGGAGGCGGCGGGGGAUCCGCCGUGUGGGUGGCCUUCACGCUCGCGGGCGUCCUCGCGUCCGGCCUCGCCACCGACAUGAUCGGCAUCCACGCCAUCUUCGGCGCCUUCGUGUUCGGGCUCACGGUGCCCAAGGACGGCGGGUUCGCCGGCCGCGUGACGGAGCGCGUGGAGGACCUGGUGUCGGAGCUGCUUCUACCAUUGUAUUUCGCGUCGAGCGGGCUCAAGACGGACGUGGCCACCAUCCGCGGCGGCGGCGCGCUGGGCAUCCUGGCGCUGAUCAUCGUGACGGCGUGCGCGGGGAAGAUCAUGGGCACGUUCGCGGUGGCCAUGGCGUGCGGGAUGGGGGCCAAGGAGGCCAUCGUGCUGGGCGUGCUCAUGAACACCAAGGGCCUCGUCGAGCUCAUCGUCCUCAACAUCGGCAGGGAGCGCAAGGUAUACGGAUUUUGCAGAAAUUCAACCAAAACUUGCGUCUGUUCAUGUUGGUCUGGUUGCAGGUGUUGAACGAGGAGACGUUCGCGAUCCUGGUGCUCAUGGCGCUGGUCACCACCUUCAUCACAACGCCCACCGUCAUGGCCAUCUACAAGCCGGCGCGCGCCACGGGCCGCCGCCGCCUGCACCCGCGCAAGCUCCACGGCCCCACCUCGGCGCCGUCCUCCCCGUCCUCCGCUGCUGGCGGCGCCGCGGGCGCCAACGCCAUGGAGCUGCGCGUGCUGGCGUGCAUCCACGGCGGCCACGACGUGCCGGCGCUCAUCAACCUCAUCGAGACCAUCCGGGGCCACACGCAGCCGCGCCGCCUCGUCAAGCUCUACAUCCUCCGCAUGGUCGAGCUCACCGAGCGCACCUCCUCCAUCCUCAUGGCCCGCGCCGCGCGCCGCAACGGCCUCCCCUUCCUCCGCCCCUACCGCCGCGGCGACGACCAGGUCGACGUCGCCUUCGGCACCUACGCGCAGCUCGGCCACGUCCACGUCCGCCCCAUGACCGCCAUCUCCGCGCUCCACACCAUGCACGACGACGUCGCCGCCGUCGCCGAGGACAAGCGCGUCUCCCUCAUCGUCCUGCCCUUCCACAAGCGCCAGCACGCCGGCCACGGCGGCGGCGACGAGGUCGAGAACCUCGGGCCCGAGUGGCGCGCCGUGAACCGGAGGAUCCUGCGGGAGGCGCCAUGCUCCGUCGCCGUCCUCGUCGACCGCAGCUUUGGUGGAGGCGAGCAGGUGAGCUCCGAGCAGGUCGCGCACGGCGUGUGCGUCCUGUUCUUUGGCGGGCCCGACGAUCGGGAGGCCCUCGAGCUCGCCGGGAGGAUGGCGGAGCACCCCGGCGUGCAGCUCACCGUGGUGCGCUUCCUCGACGGCAAGGCCGGCAGCGAGGAGCACGCAGAGGUCACGCUGCGCCCGACCGACGCCAGGAACGCCGAGAAGAGCUACACCUUCUCCACCGCCGUCGUCAACGGCCACAAGGAGAAGGAGCUGGACGAGGCGGCGGUGGGCGAGUUCCGGCAGAGAAUGGGCGACACGGUGCGGUUCGAGGAGCGUGUGGUGGCCGGCAACGUGAUCGAGGAGGUGGUGGCGAUCGGCAAGAGCCGGGAGUACGGGCUGGUGGUGGCCGGCAGGGGGCGGCUGCCGUCGGCGAUGGUGGCCGAGCUGGCCGUCCGUCCGGCAGAGCACCCGGAGCUGGGACCUAUCGGCGACACGCUCGCGUCGGCAGGGCACGGCGUGGCAUCCUCGGUGCUCGUGGUGCAGCAGCACGACGUGAACGCCGAUGAGGUGCCGGUGUCCGUCGUCCAGAUCGACGGGCAACCCCACGACGGUGAGCACGGCAAGGACGACGUGGCCGAGCCGUAG